rnacentral:miRNA from 14 species
AUUUUUUUAGUAUAAAUAUAUCCCAUGUCAUAUUUGGGAUAUACUUAUACUAAAAAAAUUUACUUGUUGUUUAUGUGGAAUUUAAAUUUACUUGGGGAUCCCGUAU